rnacentral:rRNA from 1 species
GAUGAACGCUAGCGGCAGGCCUAAUACAUGCAAGUCGAACGGGCGGUAGCAAUACCGCUAGUGGCGCACGGGUGCGUAACGCGUAACCAACCUGCCCAGAUCUGGGGGAUAGCCCGCCGAAAGGCGGAUUAAUACCGCAUAAACCCACAGUUUGGCAUCACAUAAUGGGUAAAGAUUUAUCGGAUCUGGAUGGGGUUGCGUAGCAUUAGCUAGUUGGCGGGGUAAUGGCCCACCAAGGCGACGAUGCUUAGGGGACCUGAGAGGGUGAUCCCCCACACUGGCACUGAGAUACGGGCCAGACGCCUACGGGAGGCAGCAGUAGGGAAUAUUGGGCAAUGGGCGAGAGCCUGACCCAGCCAUGCCGCGUGCAGGAUGAAGGCCUGCUGGGUUGUAAACGGCUUUUCUCAGGGAAGAAAACGGGGAUGCGUCCUCAACUGACGGUACCUGAGGAAUAAGCACCGGCUAACUCCGUG